GAUGAACGCUGGCGGCGUGCCUAAUACAUGCAAGUCGAGCGAACAGACGAUGAGCUUGCUCCUCUGACGUUAGCGGCGGACGUGUGAGUAACACGUGUAUAACCUACCUAUAAGACUGGGAUAACUUCGGGAAACCGGAUCUAAUACCGGAUAAUAUAUUGAACCGCAUUGUUCAAUAGUUAAAGACGGUUUUGCUGGCACUUAUAGCUGGAUCCGCGCCGCAUUAGCUAGUUGGUAAGGUAACGGCUUACCAAGGAAACGAUGCGUAGCCGACCUGAGAGGGGGAUCGGCCACACAGGAACUGAGCCACGGUCCAGACUCCUAGGGGAGGCAGCAGUAGGGAAUCUACCGAAAAGGGCGAAAGCCUGAAGGAGCAACGCAGCGUGAGUGAUGCAGGUCUUCGGAUCGUAAAACUCUGUUAUUAGGGAAGAACAAAUGUGUAAGUAACUAUGCACGUCUUGACGGUACCUAAUCAGAAAGCCACGGCUAACUACGU
rnacentral:rRNA from 1 species